GUGCAGUUACCGCGCCGAUUUACACACAAAAGAUCAGUAAGCACAGUUGCCAGUUGCCAAAAAGUGAAGUGAUCGCUCAAAUUGGUCGGUCUUUCUUAAUGAAUAUGGCAACGUUUUCCGCAGUCCAGUUCCAGAUAUUAGGUUAACCGUCAAGUUAGCCUUGAGAAAGUCUAUAAAUAGUCUCGUCACUUGAUAUUCAAGCAUGGUCAAAAUUUUGAACAAGAGUUUGAGCUGCAUGUGCCGAAGAAGCAAUUGGAAAAUGGUGUGAGAUUUCGAAUAUGUAAUUUGCAGGGAAAUUAUUUUCAAGAUGGUAUGAUCUUUGUGCAGCAGAAAAUCUGAAGCAACUUCAUCUGUGAAUGUGAGGUUAGAUAAUCUAGCUACAGGUUUAUCUGGAUGCUAGUCUUUGAGAGGUCAGCUGGCUGCCUUCGUUGGGAAUUCUUUGGGUCUUCCGAUAGAACCAAGCUAAAGGUGUAGUUGUAUGGUUGUGGCAAUAAGCUUCUGGUCUCUGAGGAUGCCUGGAUGCAAGUCUGCAGUUGAGGUAAGGUUUGUUUUUACUCGUUUCACAUAUGCAUCGUCGAUUAGUGAUCUCUCUCCAUUUUGGGGUUUCACAUUUGCAACGGCGCUAGAUCAAUGCUGUACGUACCAGCUGGUGACUUUAUUCAAUGAGGUGCACCUUCUAGAAUACUACUGACACCCCUUUUAAGAUCUCACUUGUGGACUUGUUUUGUAACUGCUGAUUUUAAACAUUUGCAGAUGAUUUAUUCUCAAAUAAAAAUGGCACCUUCGUUUCCCUACCGACUGCUAGUUUCAAGGUGGGUGAGUUUCAUUGGUUCGUUUUUGUUUCCGAGAAUCUUACCCCACCAUUGCAAUCUGUCGUUGAUUGGUGUUUGAAAGUUCUCGUAGAUAAAAGUGGAAUAUUCAUCCACUGAAUGAUCUCCGUGUUCAUAUCGGUCAGAUUUUAUUCCAACAGUUUUCUUUCUAGUAUUUUUUCGUUUGCCAUGAAUUGGUUUAGAUUCUCCUGUUCUUUUUUUCCAGGGUUUCACCUAAUGAUACUUUCAACAUAUUUAAUGGAAUUCUUUGUUGAGGGAUUGAUGGAUUUCAUUGUUUGAAAUGGUAUGGUUGGGUGACUUACUGCAAGUUUCUUAAUAUAACUGACACUGGCUGCCUUUUUGGUGUUAAGGAAGUAACGACUUGAGGUAGUCUUGGGAAUCAUACCUCAGUGCCUGAGGAAGCCUGGAUCGUCUGCUCUUGAAGGUGAUUUAUUUUCGGGCUUGAGCUGAUGCACAUGGUGUCUUGUUUCCAUAUCGACUGCUUGCUUCAAGUGCGUUCGUCGCUUCAAGGCUUCUGGCUCCGUCGUGUCGGUUUUUUCACUUGCGUCGCUAGGGUUAACAAGGAACUGAAGCUGUCGGUCAACAGCAGGAUCGAUGCGUGUGGCCUGGUUCGCUAGGUAUUUGGAAAAUGGCCGUAGGUUCCAAUCGUGAUGUAGUAUUCGUAAUGUGUAUGGACUCGUUUGAAUAAACCUGUUUUGC